rnacentral:lncRNA from 1 species
ACAUGUCGAAAUCGAGAUUUAUGUAAAUACAGUAUCAAGCAGAAUCGAAGCCAGUAUUUUAUUACAGUUACAGAAUCACGGAGAUAGAGAAAAUACAUCAAUAAUUCUCCUCUACAUUUUUUUUCUUUCUUUUUCUUCUCUUUUUCUUUCCACUACAUCUUGUCAAACACUACAUUUUGUCAAGCAUUACAAUUUGUCGACCCACUACAACAACUUCUCCACCACCCUCAAGUAUAGCCACUAUCUCCAAUCCUUUAACAAUUCAGCAGUAACCUUCCUCCAUUCACCUCCAUUCUACACUAAGAAAUGCGCCGAAGAGUAAAGAGAAACUCCAUCCAGUGUCCUGCCAACUUCAAGUUUCAAGCAUUUGUUACUCCAGUUAACAAUGGAAGAAGUAAAAUAAACCAUCAGUUCAUUUCCCUGCCAAAACUUCAAGAAGUUCCAGUUCAUUUAACACCACAGCAGCCAACCAACAUCAAUUACAAGGUAUAUACUAAGCUCAACUUAUUCGAUCCAUUUCGCAUCAACCAUCAAGCAUGAUCAGUUUCGAAUUACAGAGGGAUAUAGUAAAUCACAUAUGCAUAAUCAUGUUCCACCAAUAUAUCUGACAGUCCACGUUAUGUAUAGAAAGACUUGUGCUUUUCAUCCUACUGCACUCUAGAACAACAAAA